AACGAACGCUGGCGGCAGGCUUAACACAUGCAAGUCGAGCGCCCCGCAAGGGGAGCGGCAGACGGGUGAGUAACGCGUGGGAAUCUACCCAUCUCUACGGACUAACUCAUGGAAACGUGUGCUAAUACAGGAUACGUCCUUCGGGAGAAAGAUUUAUCGGAUAUGGAUGAGCCCGCGGUGGAUUAGAUAGUUGGUGGGGUAAAGGACUACCAAGGCGCCGAUCCAUAGCUGGGCUGAGAGGAUGAUCAGCCACCCUGGGACUGAGACACGGGCCAGGCUCCUACGGGAGGCAGCAGUGGGGAAUAUUGGACAAUGGGCGCAAGCCUGAUCCAGCCAUGCCGCGUGAGUGAUGAAGGGCCUAGGGUUGUAAAGCUCUUUCACCGGUGAAGAUAAUGACGGUAACCGGAGAAGAAGCCCCGGCUAACUUCGUGCCAGCCGCCGCAGUAACAC
rnacentral:rRNA from 1 species